UUCCUGCAUGCUUGUUGAUUAAAAUUCUCUGUUUCUGGUAAACAAAUGAACCUCCACAUGCUUUUCUUGUCCAAAUUGAGUACAUGAUACUAAUAUUCUGUAAUUUACCUUGGCUCCCUUCUGUUUAAGUAGCUGUAAUCCAUGAUGUCAUAGCUAAUGUGUUGUCCUUUCGAUGCUUCCUCCAGCCUAAAAUGUUAAGACCACAUGAACACGU
rnacentral:lncRNA from 1 species